CCUACGGGGGGCAGCAGUAGGGAAUCUUUCACAAUGGGCGAAAGCCUGAUGGAGCAACGCCGCGUGCAGGAUGAAGGCCUUCGGGUUGUAAACUGCUUUUAUAAGCGAGAAAUAUGAUGGUAACUUAUGAAUAAGGAUCGGCUAACUACGUGCCAGCAGCCGCGGUCAUACGUAGGAUCCGAGCAUUAUCCGGAGUGACUGGGUGUAAAGAGUUGCGUAGGUGGCAGAAUAAGUAGCUAGUGAAAUCUGGUGGCUCAACCAUUCAGACUAUUAGCUAAACUGUUAAGCUCGAGACCGUUAGGGGUAACUGGAAUUUCUAGUGUAGGAGUGAAAUCCGUAGAUAUUAGAAGGAACACCAAUAGCGUAGGCAGGUUGCUAGGACGGUUCUGACACUAAGGCACGAAAGCGUAGGGAGCAAACGGGAUUAGAUACCCUUGUAGUC
rnacentral:rRNA from 1 species